rnacentral:rRNA from 1 species
GAUGAACGCCGACAGAAUGCUUAACACAUGCAAGUCAACUUGAACUUCGGUUUGGGUGGCGGACGGGUGAGUAACGCGUAAAGAACCUGCCUCACAGCUAGGGACAACAUUUGGAAACGAAUGCUAAUACCUGAUAUUAUGAUUAUAUGGCAUCGUAUAAUUAUGAAAGCUAUAUGCGCUGUGAGAGAGCUUUGCGUCCCAUUAGCUAGUUGGAGAGGUAACAGCUCACCAAGGCGAUGAUGGGUAGCCGGCCUGAGAGGGUGAUCGGCCACAAGGGGACUGAGACACGGCCCUUACUCCUACGGGAGGCAGCAGUGGGGAAUAUUGGACAAUGGACCGAGAGUCUGAUCCAGCAAUUCUGUGUGCACGAUGAAGUUUUUCGGAAUGUAAAGUGCUUUCAGUUGGGAAGAAAAAAAUGACGGUACCAACAGAAGAAGUGACGGCUAAAUACGUG